rnacentral:lncRNA from 1 species
GGGUAUUUAAGGUAAAGAGAAAAUCUGGAACCAUGACUCCAAGAAAUAAGGUUAAGGAGAGACUGAAUUCUCAAUUCUCCUCCCUCCACCUACUUCUGGCUUCCUUCUAUUUGAUUCUAAAGCUAUUCAGAGAUGAUUUCUGUUUCCUCACAAAAACAUGGCCUCCAAACAUCUAUGAAACAGGAGAUAUGUGCAUUUCAAUCCUUCAUUCUCCAGUAAUGAUCCUCAGAAUGAAGAGCUUCUCUCUGAGUGAUGGAACCCUACCCAGAAGAUCCUGGAAGCAGUCCUGAGGCAUACUUUCAAAGAGAGGAAGAGAAUUAGCAAUACUAAUGCUUUUGGCCAUAGGACAGCAGGGAACACUAGUAAUAGUUCAAAGACUUCAAAGAGUACUUAUGGUUACUCCUGAACCAGAACGCAGACCUGGCAAGUAUUAAAUAUAUCUCUACUUAUGUCAUAUCACCUUGGAAGAACCGAAAGAUAGAUUCUUAGACCCAGAGCUGACAGAAGCUACAUAAAGAACUUGAAGCUUGGAACAGUACUCCCUUCACCUCAGUUACAGACUCCAACUUUAUCAAUCUUUAAAAAUAAAUUAAAAGAAAAAGACUGGAAAUUGAGCA